rnacentral:rRNA from 1 species
CCAGCAGCUGCGGUAAUUCCAGCUCCACUAGCGUAUAUUAAAGUUGUUGCAGUUAAAAAGCUCGUAGUUGAACUUCUGAUUGUUGUUAGUGUCGGUAUUUAUAUCGCGCUAAUGGCAGUCAUCCGUCUGCAAACUUUUACAUCCUUAACUGGUUUGUCUAAGGGAGCAGGCAUUUUACUUUGAAAAAAUUAGAGUGUUUAAGGCAGGCGCAAGCCUGAAUACAUUAGCAUGGAAUAAUGGAAUAGGACGCUUGUCCAUUUGAUUGGUUAUUGGACUCGCGUAAUGAUUAAUAGGGACAGUUGGGGGCAUUAGUAUUUAAUUGUCAGAGGUGAAAUUCUUGGAUUUAUUAAAGACUAACUUAUGCGAAAGCAUUUGCCAAGGAUGUUUUCAUUAAUCAAGAACGAAAGU